AAAUCUCACAUCAAAAGCAGCACUUAAAAAAAGCAUAUUAAACAAAUACAUCAUCAAAAGAAAUCUUGUGUUGUUCACAGGAGCCUGGUGGAAGGUUCAUCAAAGAUAAGUUACCUAGCGCUGUAGUUUGUGUCUUUUUAUUCUCAAGAAUUAAAAGAAAGUGACUAGGUCAGAACUGGGAAGGUCCAACUUCCCACAACACUUCUUCAAGAAAAUAGUGCUGACUCCAGAGUAAGUGGACUUGGUGGAUUACCAUGUGUUUCCUGUGGCAAAAUUGUGAAUAAAAAAGAGAAAAGACCUCAUUUGACCUCUUGAGAAACCCAAAUUCAAGCUACAAAGACGCACACAUGCCUCAGUGUGCAAAAGCUGCUAUCUAAUUUAGGAAAUAACCACACUGUUGCACAAGCCUGUAGUAAGUGAGGAAGUGUUUUUUUGUACAGGUUUCCUCUGAACUGACAGUGUGUGCGCGUUCUCUCGAAACAAGAUGACGAUUGCUAAAAUAUCUGUUUAGAGAGAAGUGGUUUGAUGGCUAGAAGUAGAAAGUGGAGCGGUACACAAAAAAAGCUAAAUCACUUGUUUAAACAUGUGUAUGGAUAUUUUGAGAAAAGGACAAAAACCUGCAGGAGAAGAGACUGGCUGCUACUGUGCCACUGGUUACCACCAAGCUGCAACCUCUGGGGCUGAAAAAUGGGGCUAAAGGAAUAUAAACGAUUCAGCAAUGGACAGAUUCGGACAUUACGGCCUCUUCAAAGGUUGUGAGUAGGACUGAUUUGGGAAAAAAAAAUUGUAAUUGCGAUUACGAUUCGCGUUUUUUUUCUUUUUAAGUUUAGCUUAAGUUCAAUAUUCACUGCCAGUCUAUAUUUGACGGAAGCCGCGUCAAGCAGCACAGAGCAGAUAAACCGGGCAGGAAGUCAGACACAGAACGGCAUAGAGAAUCUGGUCGAUUUACAAAAUAAAAUACCCUGUAGUUGAAGCACACAAAAUUACUAAUUAACAACACGUCAACAACGUAGGGCAGGCUAAAUGCUGUCGCCGUAACAGUAGGCGUAUGGCAAAGAUGACAACGGAAUAAAUUUGUACCGCAAGACUGUUUAAACGGGUCAGAUGCGCUCUAUAAUUAACCUGCAUUUUAAUUGCCAUCUUCACGAUUAGCUAAUUGCGUUCUUUCAAAUAGUAAUUUCGAUUUGAAAUCAUUAAUUCUUCAGCCCUAGUUGUGAGUCGUAAUUUUUUCCCCCAUCAUGUUGUUUUCCAUAAAAUGAACUUAACGGUUGAAUUGUGGAGAAUCUAACUGAUCUAACAAUAUGUAGCAUGUAUAUACUGACAUAAGUUUAAACAUUUAUAUUUGUAUUUGCAAUCUAAGUAGCUUACAGCUAGCUAAAACGGGUGACCCGGCGGGCUUUAAGAGGUUUUAUGCAUCCAGAGAACUCUUGUAAGCCGGGAGUGAGGUGAGUCAGGUGCACCACACACACACACACCCCCCUUCAUAAUUGCUCUUCAGAAACCUAUGGGUGACGUCACAGACACUACAUCCAUGUUUUAUACAGUCUAUAGUUACCACAAAUGUUACUAUAGCAAUCAACGCAAUGUGACUGUUUUUGUUAUUUUAUUAUCAGCAUAGUACAAAUGUGUCUUCAGGCCAGUCUUACUCCUUAGCUGAUGUUAUCUCUUAUAUAACACUGGGCACAUGCGAGUGUUUUCUGCGUUUCAUACCCUGGU